rnacentral:rRNA from 1 species
AGCAUGCGGCAGCUUACCAUGCAAGUCGAACGAUGAAGCCCAGCUUGCUGGGUGGAUUAGUGGCGAACGGGUGAGUAACACGUGAGUAACCUGCCCUUAACUCUGGGAUAAGCCUGGGAAACUGGGUCUAAUACCGGAUAGGAGCGUCCACCGCAUGGUGGGUGUUGGAAAGAUUUAUCGGUUUUGGAUGGACUCGCGGCCUAUCAGCUUGUUGGUGAGGUAAUGGCUCACCAAGGCGACGACGGGUAGCCGGCCUGAGAGGGUGACCGGCCACACUGGGACUGAGACACGGCCCAGACUCCUACGGGAGGCAGCAGUGGGGAAUAUUGCACAAUGGGCGCAAGCCUGAUGCAGCGACGCCGCGUGAGGGAUGACGGCCUUCGGGUUGUAAACCUCUUUCAGUAGGGAAGAAGCGAAAGUGACGGUACCUGCAGAAGAAGCACCGGCUAACUACGUGCCAGCAGCCGCGGUAAUACGUAGGGUGCGAGCGUUAUCCGGAAUUAUUGGGCGUAAAGAGCUCGUAGGCGGUUUGUCGCGUCUGUCGUGAAAGUCCGGGGCUUAACCCCGGAUCUGCGGUGGGUACGGGCAGACUAGAGUGCAGUAGGGGAGACUGGAAUUCCUGGUGUAGCGGUGGAAUGCGCAGAUAUCAGGAGGAACACCGAUGGCGAAGGCAGGUCUCUGGGCUGUAACUGACGCUGAGGAGCGAAAGCAUGGGGAGCGAACAGGAUUAGAUACCCUGGUAGUCCAUGCCGUAAACGUUGGGCACUAGGUGUGGGGACCAUUCCACGGUUUCCGCGCCGCAGCUAACGCAUUAAGUGCCCCGCCUGGGGAGUACGGCCGCAAGGCUAAAACUCAAAGGAAUUGACGGGGGCCCGCACAAGCGGCGGAGCAUGCGGAUUAAUUCGAUGCAACGCGAAGAACCUUACCAAGGCUUGACAUGUUCUCGAUCGCCGUAGAGAUACGGUUUCCUCUUUGGGGCGGGUUCACAGUGGUGCAUGAUGUCGUCAGCUCGUGUCGUGAGAUGUUGGGUUAAGUCCGCACGAGCGCACCCUCGUCAUGUGCAGCACGUAUGGUGGGACUCAUGGGAGACUGCCGG